CUGUCCCAUGUUGCCAGCGAGUUAUGUCGGGGACUCAUGGGAGACUGCCGGUGACAAAUCGGAGGAAGGUGGGGAUGAUGUCAAGUCAUCAUGCCCCUUAUGUCCUGGGCUACACACGUGCUACAUUGGCCGGUACAAAGGGCUGCAAACCCGUGAGGGGAAGCGAAUCCCAAAAAACCGGUCCCGGUUCGGAUUGGAGGCUGAAACUCGCCUCCAUGAAGGCGGAGUUGCUAGUAAUCGUGGAUCAGCAACGCCACGGUGAAUACGUUCUCGGGCCUU
rnacentral:rRNA from 1 species